UCAGCCCCUGAUCCUGAAAGGACAGGCACUAUAAAGGAUGCAUAAGAUAUGUAUGAACUGGAGAGCCUGGUGGGAAUUUUCCACAAAUGUAAAGAUCUGCAGCUGAAAUCAGGCCCAACAGGAGUCUGGCUCUCAACCAGCAACAACAAGUGAGGUGGAAAGAAUAUGAAGAGGUCCAGAUGAUUUUAUUAAAGCACAGACUAUGAAGCGGAAACCCUCAGUCUGGCUACAAGAAAACUGCAGGGGAUAACCUGACUUUCUCAUUUUGUUCAAAAUUAUCAUAUCCAAAAGUAUGUAUUAGGUUGGCUGUUCAGUUCUCAAUUAGAAAUUAGAUAAAUAUUCAGAUAAAUUAAUUAUAAAUGUUUGCAAUUAAUAAGUCUGAAAAAUAGUAAGACUCUUUAUUGGGAUUAUUUCUACGCAUUUCAAGGACAAAAUCAUAACAUUAUUCAGAGAGAAAAGGUCACUUAAAUCUGUGAAGUUACUGUCAUAAACUAAAAUAUUAAGUGAUACUGUUGUUCAGUUCCAGUAAAAAGUGCAAAGGUGUUCCGUAAAAGUAAAAAAAAAAAAAAAGAAGUGCAAAGGUGAUAAUUUCACCAAUGUUAUACUUAUUUUCAUAAGACUUGGAGGAAUAAGAUAAAUAAGAGCUCCGGGUUUAAUCAUCCUAUUUUGUAUGUAGUGAUUUCAAGUGUGUCUUAAUCGAAAGUGCUGUCGGUGACAAGAAAGCACUGAAAAUGUCUAUAUUGCAUAAUUCGGAAAAAAAAAUUUAUAUCACAUUGUUGUUUUUUUAUAUAUAUUUUCUGAAAAGUGUAGAAUCAAAUUCUUAGAUCUGAUCAGAUUUUAAGACUUUCAGUGAUGA